rnacentral:misc_RNA from 1 species
GGAAUCUUCCACAAUGGGCGCAAGCCUGAUGGAGCAACACCGCGUGAGUGAAGAAGGGUUUCGGCUCGUAAAGCUCUGUUGUUGGAGAAGAACGUGCGUGAGAGUAACUGUUCACGCAGUGACGGUAUCCAACCAGAAAGUCACGGCUAACUACGUGCCAGCAGCCGCGGUAAUACGUAGGUGGCAAGCGUUAUCCGGAUUUAUUGGGCGUAAAGCGAGCGCAGGCGGUUGCUUAGGUCUGAUGUGAAAGCCUUCGGCUUAACCGAAGAAGUGCAUCGGAAACCGGGCGACUUGAGUGCAGAAGAGGACAGUGGAACUCCAUGUGUAGCGGUGGAAUGCGUAGAUAUAUGGAAGAACACCAGUGGCGAAGGCGGCUGUCUGGUCUGCAACUGACGCUGAGGCUCGAAAGCAUGGGUAGCGAACAGGA